GUGAGCGUAGUUCAACUGGUAGAGCGCAAGAUUGUGGUUCUUGAUGUUGCGGGUUCAAGUCCCGUCGCUCACCCA
rnacentral:tRNA from 1 species